rnacentral:tRNA from 1 species
CGGGGCGUGGCGCAGUCUGGUUAGCGCGCGUGCCUUGGGAGCACGAGGUCGGAGGUUCAAAUCCUCUCGCCCCGACCA